rnacentral:rRNA from 1 species
AACGCUGGCGGCAGGCCUAACACAUGUCAAGUUCGAACGGUAGUCACAGCAUGAGCUUGCUUCUUGGGUGACGAGUGGCGGACGGGUGAGUAAUGUCUGGGAAACUGCCCGAUGGAGGGGGAUAACUACUGGAAACGGUAGCUAAUACCGCAUAACGUCGCAAGACCAAAGAGGGGGACCUUCGGGCCUCUUGCCAUCGGAUGUGCCCAGAUGGGAUUAGCUAGUAGGUGGGGUAACGGCUCACCUAGGCGACGAUCCCUAGCUGGUCUGAGAGGAUGACCAGCCACACUGGAACUGAGACACGGUCCAGACUCCUACGGGAGGCAGCAGUGGGGAAUAUUGCACAAUGGGCGCAAGCCUGAUGCAGCCAUGCCGCGUGUAUGAAGAAGGCCUUCGGGUUGUAAAGUACUUUCAGCGAGGAGGAAGGCGUUGUGGUUAAUAACCGCAGUCGAUUGACGUUACUCGGAGAAAAAGCACCGGCUAACUCCGUGCCAGCAUGCCGCGGUAAUACGGAGGGUGCUCAGCGUUAAUCGGAAUUACUGGGCUUAAAGCCCACGCUGUGCGGUCUGCCAAGUCGGAUGUUAAAUCCUAGGGCUCAAGCUGGGAACUGCAUCCGAAACUGGUAAGCUAGUAAUCUUGUUGAAGGGGG